rnacentral:lncRNA from 1 species
GCUUUCAAUAAGGUUGAAUUUCGCACAACGAUAAUCUAUAGAUUUUAUGGUUCGAUGAUUUAUAAAAUAAAAUGUGUUAUGAUUGCCAAUGACACAGAAAUUAACAACUAUUGGUCACCGUAUGGCCUUCAAUACGUGUGCUGUAUUUCACAACAUGCAAGGGGAAACCACGAAUUGUACUGUUCAACGAAUUCCAAAUUAGUUGUAUAAUGAUAUGCAGACUUUUGGAAAAAACCAAAUUCAAAUAUCCAUGAAAGUUUUCUUCAAAUCACAAAAAUUGGUACCCACGAAAAUAUAAAAAAAAGGAAUGAACAUUUUUUUUACAAUGGCUUCUAACGUUUUUUUUUUAAA